UUUAAUUAGUACAGCCUGUAUU
rnacentral:miRNA from 5 species